rnacentral:rRNA from 1 species
AUACAGAGGGUGCGAGCGUUAAUCGGAAUUACUGGGCGUAAAGCGCGCGUAGGCGGUUACUUAAGUCAGAUGUGAAAUCCCCGGGCUUAACCUGGGAAUUGCAUUCGAUACUGGCCGACUCGAGUACGAGAGAGGGAGGUAGAAUUCCAUGUGUAGCGGUGAAAUGCGUAGAUAUGUGGAGGAAUACCAGUGGCGAAGGCGGCCUCCUGGCUCGAUACUGACGCUGAGGUGCGAAAGCGUGGGGAGCAAACAGGAUUAGAAACCCCAGUAGUCC